GGAAGACGGGUCAUUUCUUACUGAUAAAUUCUGAAAAAAACAGAGAUGUUAAUAGCAGGGUUUCAGUCACAUGAUUAUGAUGAUGCGCAUGGGCGGGAAGAAGGCAGAUGGAGGGCAGGAAGUAAACAUGGAGAAUACGUCUAUAGAGGAAACUGUUGCAGAGAGUCAGUAUUGUACGGAUUUAGAUCCAGUUUCGAGACAUAGAUACAAGGAGUUAAUUAACAGAUAUGUUGGACAUGACCCGCACCUCAUGAAGAUGAAUGAGUUUUCAGUAGAACUGAAAGAUUUACCGACAGUUGAGGCUGUUGACUUCACCAACUAUCUGGUCCUUCAGACAUUGUACUACACCAGACAGCAAAUGAAGGCCUAUAAAAGUCUGGAGGCAUACAACUUUUUUGUCAACAGGUGGGUCCACAACCUCGGUGUCAAACGGCUCCACGAUGAUCAUCGUUUGGUCUUCGCCAGAGUAAACCACUCUCAGAGGUCAAGCGACACACCUCUGAAGACCUAGAUUAUUGCGAAGGAGGAUGGAGAAGUCAUUGCAGCUCAUUGCAAUUGCAUGGAAGGGUACGUAAUUUGGCUAGAUUGUUUACAACGAGAUCUCACACACACACACACACACACACACACACACACACACACCGUACUGGUAGCAUACUGUGUACUUCAGAACCAGCGGAGAGAGAGCUUUAAGGAAUAAACAUGUUGAUUAAUGUAAAGUGCUACUCCA
ensembl:lncRNA